CUCAUGCCUCCCUAAAUAUAGUAAAAUCUUACUUGUAUUUAAGUCCGCAGAUGCUUACUUUGUCCCUGUUUCUUUUAGACCUGCCUGCUGACAUCAUCAGAAGUGGUAGCCUGAUCCAAUCACAAUGCUUCCCCAUAGGUUUGACUGAGACUGACAAAGAGGCAGAUCAGGGGCAGAGCCAGCACAAUUCAAACACAGCCCUGGCCAAUCAGCAUCUCAUAGAGAUGAAUUGAAUCAAUAGAUCUCUAUGAGGAAAGUUCAGUGUCUGAAUGCAGAGGGAGGAGACACUGAAUGUUUUUAUGCAUUUCAGGCAGCAAUGACCCAGGAAGGAUCUCUAACAGACAUCUUAGAAGUGGCCAGUGAAGUUCACUAGGCUGUAAUGUAAACAUUGCAUUUUCUCUGAAACAAGCCAUGUUUAUAGCAAAAAGCCUGAAGGUAAUGAUUCUACUCACCAGCACAAAUUCAAUAAACU